rnacentral:rRNA from 1 species
UUCGCAAUGCCCGAAAGGGUGACGAUGCGACGCCGCGUGAGCGAAGAAGGCCCUAGGGUUGUAAAGCUCUGUCAGGGGUUAAGAAAUGUAGAUAGGUUAAUACCCUGUUUAUUUGACAAAAGCCCCAAAGGAAGCCACGGCUAACUCUGUGCCAGCAGCCGCGGUAAUACAGAGGUGGCAAGCGUUGUUCGGUAUUAUUGGGCGUAAAGAGCACGUAGGUGGUUUUGUAAGUCAGAUGUGAAAGCCUUCUGUUCAAAGGAAGAACGGCAUCUGAAACUGCAGAUCUUGAGUGUAGGAGGGGAGAGUGGAACUUCUGGUGGAGCGGUGAAAUGCGUAGAUAUCAGAAGGAACGUCGGCGGCGAAAGCGACUCUCUGGCCUAUUACUGACACUGAGUGUGCGAAAUUUAGGGGAGCAAACGGGAUUAGAUACCCCGGUAGUCCUAACCGUAAACGAUGGGCACUAAGUAGAGGGGUUUUA